CAUUAAGAAGCUAUGAACCAGCAUUAGCCUUUUAAGCUAAAGAAAGAGGACCGUCUCCUCCUUAAUGA
rnacentral:tRNA from 1 species